rnacentral:rRNA from 1 species
UAAUACGUAGGGGGCGAGCGUUGUCCGGAUUUAUUGGGCGUAAAGAGCUCGUAGGCGGUUCAACAAGUCGGUCGUAAAAGUUCAGGGCUCAACCCUGAAAUGUCGAUCGAUACUGUUGUGACUAGGAUACGGUAGAGGUGAGUGGAAUUCCGAGUGUAGCGGUGAAAUGCGUAGAUAUUCGGAGGAACACCAAUUGCGAAGGCAGCUCACUGGGCCGCUAUCGACGCUGAGGAGCGAAAGCUAGGGGAGCAAACAGGAUUAGAUACCCUGGUAGUCCUAGCUGUAAACGAUGGAUACUAGACGUAGGAACUGGAUUGACGGUUUCUGUGUCGUAGCUAACGCGUUAAGUAUCCCGCCUGGGGAGUACGGUCGCAAGACUA